rnacentral:rRNA from 2 species
UAACACCCGAAGUCGGUGAGGUAACCUUUUGGAGCCAGCCGCCGAAGGUGGGACCAAUGAUUGGGGUGAAGUCGUAACAAGGUAGCCGUAUCGGAAGGUGCGGCUGGAUCACCUCCUUUCUAAGGA